AUAACAUGUUGAAACACCAGUUCUCAUACAAUCACUGAUGUUAAGCAACAUUGAGCCGAGUCAGUACCGAAAUGAGUGACCACUUGGAAAUAUCAGGUGCUGUCAG